GACGAACGCUGGCGGCGCGCUUAACACAUGCAAGUCGAGCGAUGAAAUCUUGACAGAACCCUUCGGGGUGAAGAUAAGAUGGAUUAGCGGCGGACGGGUGAGUAACACGUGAGUAACCUGCCUUAGACAUUGGGAUAGCCUCGGGAAACCGGGAUUAAUACCAAAUGAAGUCACAUAUGCACAUGCAUAAAUGAUCAAAGCUCCGGCGGUCUAAGAUGGACUCGCGUCCCAUUAGCUAGUUGGUGAGGUAACGGCCCACCAAGGCGACGAUGGGUAGCCGGCCUGAGAGGGUGAACGGCCACAUUGGAACUGAGAAACGGUCCAAACUCCUACGGGAGGCAGCAGUGGGGAAUAUUGCACAAUGGAGGGAACUCUGAUGCAGCGACGCCGCGUGAACGAAGAAGGCUUUCGAGUCGUAAAGUUCUUUUAUAUGGGAAGAUAAUGACGGUACCAUAAGAAAAAGCCCCGGCUAACUACGUGCCAGCAGCCGCGGUAAUACGUAGGGGGCUAGCGUUGUCCGGAAUCACUGGGCGUAAAGGGUUCGCAGGCGGAAAUGCAAGUCAGGUGUAAAAGGCAGUAGCUUAACUACUGUAAGCAUUUGAAACUGCAUAUCUUGAGAAGAGUAGAGGUAAGUGGAAUUUUUAGUGUAGCGGUGAAAUGCGUAGAUAUUAAAAGGAAUACCGGUGGCGAAGGCGACUUACUGGGCUCAUUCUGACGCUGAGGAACGAAAGCGUGGGUAGCAAACAGG
rnacentral:rRNA from 1 species